rnacentral:rRNA from 1 species
CACGUAGGCAGCGAGCGUUGUUCGGAGUUACUGGGCGUAAAGCGUGCGUAGGCGGUGUCUUAAGUUUGUUGUGAAAUCUCCCGGCUUAACCGGGAGGGUGCGGCGAAUACUGAGAUGCUGGAGUGCCGGAGAGGUAAGCGGAACUCCUGGUGUAGCGGUGAAAUGCGUAGAUAUCAGGAGGAACACCUGCGGUGUAGACGGCUUACUGGACGGUAACUGACGCUGAGGCACGAAAGCGUGGGUAGCAAACAGG